rnacentral:piRNA from 1 species
UCACAACGUGAGGGACUGACUGUAAUAA